GAAUGGAAAGGAUCCAUGCCAGGCCUCGUUUUUCCUCCCCAUGCUGAUUCCAGUCCAGUGGACCAUCACAGUCUGGAAACUUCUAGCUGCCUGGUCUUCUAAGAGAAACUCCAUUCCUUGAUGACUGAUGGAAAAGCCUCAUCACCCCCCACUGCUUAAGAACCCCUUAUCUUAAUCACCAGCCAUUAAUCAGUGAUCACUGUUAUCAAAGCUCCAAGGUGCGCAUGAUGCAACUUCCUGGAUGGUGUGUAGGCUGUUUGUCAACAUGUGAAUCCCACGUGCAUUUCGGGGUAGGUAUGUUUACUGUCGAUUUUCUUUCUUAAAAGCCGCAUAAGGCAUAUUUUUUCUGAUCUCAAAUUUUUGUUUAAUAAGCAUUAAUCUUUAUUUUCUCUUUCAUGAAUUUUCUGCUGAGAGUCUAAUAAAUUAAAUAAUUUAAUUCAAGCUAUAUAGUAAUAUAUAGUGAAAUUAUUUCCUUGUGUGAGA